UAAGUUAGAAAGGGCGCACGGUGGAUGCCUUGACACUAGGAGUCGAUGAAGGACGGGACUAACGCCGAUAUGCUUCGGGGAGCUGUAAGUAAGCUUUGAUCCGAAGAUUUCCGAAUGGGGAAACCCACCAUACGUAAUGGUAUGGUAUCCUUAUCUGAAUACAUAGGAUAAGGAAGACAGACCCAGGGAACUGAAACAUCUAAGUACCUGGAGGAAGAGAAAGCAAAUGCGAUUUCCUGAGUAGCGGCGAGCGAAACGGAACAUAGCCCAAACCAAGAGGCUUGCCUCUUGGGGUUGUAGGACAUUCUAUACGGAGUUACAAAGGAACGAGGUAGACGAAGCGACCUGGAAAGGUCCGUCGUAGAGGGUAACAACCCCGUAGUCGAAACUUCGUUCUCUCUUGAAUGUAUCCUGAGUACGGCGGAACACGUGAAAUUCCGUCGGAAUCUGGGAGGACCAUCUCCCAAGGCUAAAUACUCCCUAGUGAUCGAUAGUGAACCAGUACCGUGAGGGAAAGGUGAAAAGCACCCCGGAAGGGGAGUGAAAGAGAUCCUGAAACCGUGUGCCUACAAAUAGUCAGAGCCCGUUAAUGGGUGAUGGCGUGCCUUUUGUAGAAUGAACCGGCGAGUUACGAUCCCGUGCGAGGUUAAGCUGAAGAGGCGGAGCCGCAGCGAAAGCGAGUCUGAAUAGGGCGUUUAGUACGUGGUCGUAGACCCGAAACCAGGUGAUCUACCCAUGUCCAGGGUGAAGUUCAGGUAACACUGAAUGGAGGCCCGAACCCACGCACGUUGAAAAGUGCGGGGAUGAGGUGUGGGUAGCGGAGAAAUUCCAAUCGAACCUGGAGAUAGCUGGUUCUCCCCGAAAUAGCUUUAGGGCUAGCCUUAAGUGUAAGAGUCUUGGAGGUAGAGCACUGAUUGGACUAGGGGUCCUCAUCGGAUUACCGAAUUCGGUCAAACUCCGAAUGCCAAUGACUUAUCCUUAGGAGUCAGACUGCGAGUGAUAAGAUCCGUAGUCAAAAGGGAAACAGCCCAGACCGCCAGCUAAGGUCCCAAAGUGUGUAUUAAGUGGAAAAGGAUGUGGAGUUGCUUAGACAACUAGGAUGUUGGCUUAGAAGCAGCCACCAUUUAAAGAGUGCGUAAUAGCUCACUAGUCGAGUGACUCUGCGCCGAAAAUGUACCGGGGCUAAAUACACCACCGAAGCUGCGGAUUGAUACCAAUGGUAUCAGUGGUAGGGGAGCGUUCUAAGGACAGUGAAGUCAGACCGGAAGGACUGGUGGAGUGCUUAGAAGUGAGAAUGCCGGUAUGAGUAGCGAAAGACGGGUGAGAAUCCCGUCCACCGAAUGCCUAAGGUUUCCUGAGGAAGGCUCGUCCGCUCAGGGUUAGUCAGGACCUAAGCCGAGGCCGACAGGCGUAGGCGAUGGACAACAGGUUGAUAUUCCUGUACCACCUCUUUAUCGUUUGAGCAAUGGAGGGACGCAGAAGGAUAGAAGAAGCGUGCGAUUGGUUGUGCACGUCCAAGCAGUUAGGCUGAUAAGUAGGCAAAUCCGCUUAUCGUGAAGGCUGAGCUGUGAUGGGGAAGCUCCUUAUGGAGCGAAGUCUUUGAUUCCCCGCUGCCAAGAAAAGCUUCUAGCGAGAUAAAAGGUGCCUGUACCGCAAACCGACACAGGUAGGCGAGGAGAGAAUCCUAAGGUGUGCGAGAGAACUCUGGUUAAGGAACUCGGCAAAAUGACCCCGUAACUUCGGGAGAAGGGGUGCUUUCUUAACGGAAAGCCGCAGUGAAUAGGCCCAAGCGACUGUUUAGCAAAAACACAGCUCUCUGCGAAGCCGUAAGGCGAAGUAUAGGGGGUGACACCUGCCCGGUGCUGGAAGGUUAAGGAGAGGGGUUAGCGUAAGCGAAGCUCUGAACUGAAGCCCCAGUAAACGGCGGCCGUAACUAUAACGGUCCUAAGGUAGCGAAAUUCCUUGUCGGGUAAGUUCCGACCCGCACGAAAGGUGUAACGAUUUGGGCACUGUCUCAACCAGAGACUCGGUGAAAUUAUAGUACCUGUGAAGAUGCAGGUUACCCGCGACAGGACGGAAAGACCCCGUGGAGCUUUACUGUAGCCUGAUAUUGAAUUUUGGUACAGUUUGUACAGGAUAGGCGGGAGCCUUUGAAACCGGAGCGCUAGCUUCGGUGGAGGCGCUGGUGGGAUACCGCCCUGACUGUAUUGAAAUUCUAACCUACGGGUCUUAUCGACCCGGGAGACAGUGUCAGGUGGGCAGUUUGACUGGGGCGGUCGCCUCCUAAAGUGUAACGGAGGCGCCCAAAGGUUCCCUCAGAAUGGUUGGAAAUCAUUCGUAGAGUGCAAAGGCAUAAGGGAGCUUGACUGCGAGACCUACAAGUCGAGCAGGGACGAAAGUCGGGCUUAGUGAUCCGGUGGUUCCGCAUGGAAGGGCCAUCGCUCAACGGAUAAAAGCUACCCCGGGGAUAACAGGCUUAUCUCCCCCAAGAGUCCACAUCGACGGGGAGGUUUGGCACCUCGAUGUCGGCUCAUCGCAUCCUGGGGCUGUAGUCGGUCCCAAGGGUUGGGCUGUUCGCCCAUUAAAGCGGUACGCGAGCUGGGUUCAGAACGUCGUGAGACAGUUCGGUCCCUAUCCGUCGUGGGCGUAGGAAAUUUGAGAGGAGCUGUCCUUAGUACGAGAGGACCGGGAUGGACGCACCGCUGGUGUACCAGUUGUUCUGCCAAGGGCAUAGCUGGGUAGCUAUGUGCGGAAGGGAUAAGUGCUGAAAGCAUCUAAGCAUGAAGCCCCCCUCAAGAUGAGAUUUCCCAUAGCGUAAGCUAGUAAGAUCCCUGAAAGAUGAUCAGGUUGAUAGGUUCGAGGUGGAAGCAUGGUGACAUGUGGAGCUGACGAAUACUAAUAGAUCGAGGACUUAACCA
rnacentral:rRNA from 1 species